rnacentral:snoRNA from 1 species
AUUGGGAUGAUGAAGAAAAUCAGACGGAUUCCCAUUGAUUUUUGCAUAAUGAUGUUAGUAACCAGCUACUUCCGACCAAU